UCACCUGACGCUGUCGUAGGUGAUGCCGUAUGGAAAUGAGGACCCAUGUUCCGCAUACCUGAGCCAGUACCCGUCUCCCUCCAGGGCCGUGGCCGAGCCCUCCUGAUUUCGCUGGGUGGCCAGCCUGGGGAUCUGUAAGCCCAGUGACGUCUGUGGUCUCGGCCCCCUCCCCGUGGGGACAGGAGGUGGCUUCAGGAGGCUGGUGAUGAAUGCCUGAAUGAAGCCAACUUGUGACUGCAGUUCUGUCUAAGGGCCUCCCCGGGUGUUAGAUGUCAGUAAGUGACACCUGUGUGUGGAUCUCAUGUGAUGAGAGAAACAGUGGGGGAAACCAAAGCUUGUGGAGUCUGCAGGUUCUGGACUUGGGGAUGUGUGCACCUGUGUACUUGGUGAGGGGUGCGAUGUCUGGAAUGAGUGUGCACGUGUGUCACGUAUUUGCAUGUGUGGUGAGUGUAUUUAGCAGGUGUGUGUGGAGUGAGUGUUCAUGCGUGUGUCGUGUAUAUUUGAGGGCGUGUGGAGUGUGUACACGCAUGACAUUUGGUGAGUGUAUUUGAGGGUGUGUAUGGAGCGCAUAGAUGCGUUUGCCUGUAUAGUAUUGGGUGAAGGGGUGGCAUGUGUGGAGCAAGCAUGCACACGUGUGUGCUGUGUGUGGGGUUUCUACCUGGUCCUCCCCUGAGCCUGCUCCUGGGCCCUGCUGUCCUGGCAGCUUUACAGUUUGGUGUGUCUUUGAUUCUGGAACCCGAUUCUGAAGCUGUGACCACAAACUUGCAGCCCUGGAGGACGCUGGCCCGUGGAGCCGGCACGAGGAUCUCGGUGCUGGCCUCUCCCUGGGCUGGGCUCUGUCCACAGCAGAGCAUGUCCGAUGACUGAGCUGUGCGCGUCUGUGGCUCCCCAGCCUCGAGUCAGCCCUCGGUUCUGUCCCACCUCUGUUUUUCUUGCUGAGGGGCUCCGGGAAGUCGGUGCCUGGGAUGACGUUUUCACCCCGGGGUUGCUUCACCAGCUGCCCAGGUGCUGGCUGCCUGAGCCCUGCUGCCGUUCUGGGUGGACGGGGCUGGCGUGGGGACGUCCCUGAGCACCUGCGGGAAGGCAGGUUUAGGAAGUGUCAGAGGUGAGUGGCUUUUUUUUAGGAAGUGGCUUUUUUUUAGGAGGUGUCAGAGGUGAGCGUGCCCCCGGGGUCUGCUCCCUGGAACCCCAGCCUUCCUGGUGAGACGAAAGGUUCUUUAGAGUGCCGUAAUCAUGCCCUCCUGGGCAGGCAGUUUCACCAACAUGUGCUUUGGGAGGAGUGGAUUCUUCCAGUCAUGGGCGUGGUGCUGACACCCGCAUGGUGGCCCCUCCUGUCCCUGAUAAGCUGACCCAGAGAGGGUCCUCAGCUGCAGACUGGACGGUGGCCCCUUUGGCACGUGGGGUCACGUCAGUGACUUGGCCGCCUGGUGCCUCCUGAAGAGCAGCCACUGGCCUUUACCUUAGAUGUUCACGUCCAAACCAGCUCCAGAGUUUGCGAUGAAAACUCCCAGCCCAGUUGGAGACUCCUUAGUUCAGCUUGGCACAGAACCUCGGAAAACAGCAGUUCUGUUCUGGGUCUUCCUUCAGAAUUGAGUUCCAUUCCAGGGAAGGGAGCGGAGGAGCCGUGAGGUCGGCUGCAGCCUCCUGUGCCUCCCACUCGAGCUGAGGGCCAUCUCUCUCCUGGGCUUCUCCCUGUCGCGUUCCCUGGUGAUGUGCUUUCUUUGCAGAGGUUGGCAACGGCUAGUUCCCUGGACUUCCUUGGGCCCCGCGCUUGACUCCUGUUCAUUGAAUGCUGUUAGGGUCUGGCCAUCGCUGGCUUUGCUCUCCUUUAGCACCUUGUAGAUGUCCACACGUGCUUCCACCCUCGCACCCUGUACACAGCACAGGACUACCCUGGCCAGCGGCUGUGCUUUGCUGCAGGUCCCUUGCUGUAGCAGGGAAGGGACCCCCACCCCCUGCCACGUCUGGCCACCGACAUCAGCAGAGGCUCGGCUGCCAUUAGGGAUACCAGUCAUGGGAAGACUGACCUCCAUGCAGAUUCACAGAGCAAGGUGGUUCUCACAGAGAAGUCAGGGGGUUUUUUCAUCCUUAACGCUGUAGCAAAUGCUGUCUUAUCUUUCACCACCAAUUUAUGUUUCUUAACACCACACCCAUGGAGCAAAGUGCUGGUGGUAUUUGAACUGUAGCCUGGGGCUCUCGCUCCCAUGGGACUCCUUGGGGAAUUUCCUAGCAAGAUCGUGUGUGUGCCCUUGCAGGGAGUUGUGUUGCUGGGCACAUCCCAUUGUGUGGUAAGAAUGGCUGAGGUCACACGCUCUUCCUGAUGAGUGCCACUCACAGCUGCUGUCCACGCAGGGCCAUGCUUGGGAUCGGCUGCCUUCUUGUCAGUGCUACUUUGACUAAUUGCCUGAGGUACCGUCAGAGUGACUUGAUAUUUUUAGAAGCUAAUUCAGGCUUCAGAUGCCAUCUAGGUAAUGAGGAGAGAGUUCAGGAAAGCUGUAUCUGAGCUCUAGCAGAGGCAGACUCUUCCGUUCCAGCUGUCACUGCGUUUACACUCAGAGGAGCACACGGUCGGGGGUGUGGAUCAGGUGUCAGGGCUGCGCUGUUCCACGCACCCACAGCGGCAGCCUUUCGCGACCAGAACUCGGACAUGCUCAGGCACAAAUCAGCCUCUCGGGAGAGCUGCUUACCCACAGAAUUCUUUUGUCAUUAAGCGGUUGAUGUCAUUCUUUGAAUGAGUGACAGUAAUUCCCCACCUCAGGGUGGGCUGCAGGGGAGAUUCAGUUGGAAAAAUAACCCAUGAGGCUUUGUGCCUCUGGGAGUCCUGAUGCCCCACCCACAUUUUCCUUCCCAUGCCCAGGAUUGUCUAAGACAAAGGGCAAGUCUUAAAGCCUUACGGCAUCUUAAGUCUUAGAUCGCAAUUAGAGAGAGACCCAGUACAGGUGGAACAGUGAAAUCCUCAGAAUUCUGCACUGGCCCUUCAAGAAGGCAGUUGUGGGCUCUUUGGACCCUUGACAGGUUUCUGUUCUCUGUCCUUCCUAAGCACAAAGAUGGAAAUUCUUCCCAUUGUCUGUUUCUCUCCCCAUCUCGGCUUCUACACAAUGCAAAGUGGCCCUCUAACUAGAGCCCAUGUUCUCUUUUGAAUACAUCAACCAAUUAUUUUGGGAGAAAAGAAUCUGCCAAAGAAACGAAGUAUAGGUUGGAAUGGUUUAAUCAAGCCUGUGUUUGUUCAACAAAGUGCGCUUUUAAAUUUCAUCUGAAGUGCUCAAGUGAAAAUUUCCCAGUGGGUGUUAAACUUUGGUGUAUAGACUCUCAUGUGGCUCCCAGUCUCAAGUCCACACCCCCACUUCAUGCUUUUACUCUUGGCCGAGUCCCAUGGAGGCCGGUUAGGGAAUCCUGCAGGAUCAGCCCUUGACCAGGACAGAUGGAUGGCCGGAUGGCUGGCUGGCUGGCUGGAGAAUACUUUGCUUAUGUCAUUCAGAGACAAGCAUUUCUUGAGCGCCUGCUGUGGGGGCUCGGCCAGGUCCUGCUGAUGGUGCAGUGGUGUGAGUCCAGCCCACAGUUCCUGCCCUCAUGGAAUUUGCAGCCUAGUGAGGACUGCAAGUCAAAUAACCACAAGGUAACUGCAGGGAGAGACACCGGGGUGAUUUCUAUGAAGAGAGGACAUGGGGUGCCCCGAGAGCCCCUGACAGAGGGAACUUUGCCAUCCUAGAAACCAGGCGGCGUUUUCAUGAGGAAAUGACAUUUCCCUCUGGGUCAGAGCUGAGGAAGGUGCCUGUGUGUGUCCCGUGGCCGCUGUGACCCUGACCACACACCUGGGGCUGGAAAAUAAUACUCACUCUCGCACAGCUCUGGAGGGCAGGAGCCAUGGGUUGAGGCCACAGUGUUUGCUCCAGGAGAGUCCCUCAUGGCCCAUUCAGGUGCCCAGAGCUGCGGGCCUUGCAUGCCUUGUUCCCUGGCACUGCCUCCUCCCAUAUGGGUGUGCAGCAUCCUGCUCCAGGGCCUUCAGCCUCUGCACCCCUCAUCUGCUGAUGCAGGUGGUGGCACUUAGGGCCCACCUGGGUAGUCCUCAGGAUUCACCUUUAUCACCGCAUGAGAGAACAUUCUCAGGUUUCAGACAUUAGGACCAGGAUUCCUUUGGGGGCCGCUCUCCCACCCACCACUGUGCCUGAAUGUGAUGCACACAGCGUCCAGCAUAUCCAGAGGCCCCAGGAGGACCUGGGGUGGCUGGAGCUAGAGUGGGACCUGGUGUCAGAAGCAGGUGGGGCCAGGGAUUCCCGAGAAAGGCUUGACGUGUACUUGAAGUGAGCAAAGGGUUUUGAAUGACUGGAUCAGAUUAACGUUUUUUAUAGAUGGGUCUCCAGUCUGUGUGAACAGAUUGCAGGGUGCCGGGGUGGGAGCUAAGGCCCAGGCAGAGGCUUUGCAGAGUCCCAGGAGAGGGCGCUGCAGCCCAGACUGGUGUGUGGGUGGGAAGGCGGCCGAUGCAUUUCUCUGCUGUUUUUCUCCCCGCUGAGUUUGGUUCCUCGUGGAGGGCGGAUGGCAGACAUUUCGCUCUGGGACCUGAUGCCUAUGCAUCCGAAAGACUUCCCCAGGUGACUGGGUCUAAGAACUACCGUCUGCCUUUGAGUAGAGUUUCUACAUACGUAACAUUCACCGAUGGAUAGAAGAUGGCCACAGCUCUAAAAUCACAGGGAGCUUUAGCAGAAGAAAAUAGAAGAUCACAGCUGUCCCCGUGGACUAAGCUGGCAGGUAGCUCUGCGAUGGUGGGUGCACCCUGGGCUGGAGUGACUGUGACCACAUCAAGCAGUCCGCCAGCAGGAACCAAGUGGCACGUGUUCACCAUCAAGUCCAUGGGCGGCUACUGUGGCUACCUGGCCAACCUGGGGGCUCGCGGCUGGAGCCGUUGCUGUAUACAUUUUCGAAGAGCCCUUCGACAUCAGGGAUCUGCAGUCCAGUGUGGAGCACCUGACGGAGAAAAUGAAGACCACCAUCCAGAGGGGCCUUGUGCUCAGGCACAGGAUUCCCAAAGAACAGUGGUGGCUCAAGCUGCGGCCCCUCAUGAAGAUCUUGGCCAAGUACAAGGCCAGCUACGACGUGUCAGACUCAGGCCAGCUAGAGCACGUGCAGCCCUGGAGCGUCUGACCCAGUCCUGCCUGCAUGUGCCUGCAACCUGGACUCACCGUGGACCAUCUGUUUUUGUAACACUUAAGUUAUUUGUCAGCACUUUAUUAAAGUAUUAUUGACAUUAAUACCUAACCAGCAAGCACCUGUCACCGCCCAUGUACCCCACCAGCUCCAGU